rnacentral:misc_RNA from 1 species
CAACCAUUAUCCAUCAGACCCCACCUCUCUUUUCCUUUACCUUCACUAUCCCAUGAGCAACUCGGCCAAGUCGCCCUCCGGCCCCGUCGGUGAUGAGGGGCGGCGCAACUAUCCGAUGUCAGCCCACACCCUCGUCACACAGGAGCAGGUGUGGGCCGCCACGGCGAAGUGCGCAAAGAAGAUUGCAGAGGACUACAGAAGUUUUAAGUUGACGACCGACAACCCGCUCUACCUGCUGUGCGUGCUCAAGGGCAGCUUCAUCUUCACGGCCGACCUUGCCCGCUUUCUCGCCGACGAGGGUGUCCCGGUGAAGGUGGAGUUUAUUUGCGCGAGCUCGUACGGCACGGGCGUGGAGACGUCGGGCCAGGUGCGCAUGCUCCUCGACGUGCGUGACUCCGUGGAGAAUCGCCAUAUUCUGAUUGUCGAGGACAUCGUCGACAGCGCCAUCACGCUGCAGUAUCUGAUGCGGUUCAUGCUCGCCAAGAAGCCGGCCUCGCUCAAGACGGUGGUGCUGCUGGACAAGCCGUCGGGGCGAAAGGUGGAGGUGCUAGUCGACUACCCCGUCAUCACGAUCCCGCACGCGUUUGUGAUUGGCUACGGCAUGGACUACGCCGAGUCGUAUCGAGAGCUGCGCGAUAUCUGCGUGCUCAAGAAGGAGUACUACGAGAAGCCGGAGAGCAAGGUGUAGCGGUGACGAGCUAUACCGCUCGUGUCGGUGGGAACACCUGCCCGCCUCUCUCCUUCUCUAUGCGCGCUCUCACAGAAACGCACACCGACAUGCCAACAAGCGUGCUCGUGGGCGAUGGAAGGGGUGAGACCGCCGUAGCGACUGCGGCUGCGUACACAAGUGGAGCCGACCAUACCACGCGCGGCCUUUUUCUUUUCUUCGUUCUCUAACUUCUUCUUACCCCAUUUCGUGGCCUCAGCGGUGUUGCCACGGAUUAGAGAGGAGGAUAGAUGGCGAGCGAGCCUGCGAGUGGGCGAGUGCAGGUGCGGGCGGGAGGCUGUAUACGAUGCCGCGACGCAGCACAUUAGCAGACCUUCUGCAUGGGUCAGCACAAGGCAGGCGAAAGGCUGGGGUGGUGCUGUGGGGAGGGGCAGAUGUGGCGCAGUGUCGUAAAGACUCGGGUGAGGGUGAUGCUGAAGCGGGGCGACGAGUGGGGGGAACCGCGUAUGCGGCGGCCAUGACGCGCGUGUGUGCGCCUGUUCAUCCUGUCGCAUCUGCGGCUCGACUGAGCUGCGUCGUGCUUUGCUCCUUCAUGUGAUAGUUCUCCCGGCCACCCCUGUAUACGUGCGUUCUUUGCUGUCCCGCCGCCACCACUGCCUCUUGUCCCUUGCAAGUCCCUGCCGGUGUAUUGCCCUCCCCCUCCCUCCUCUGUUCUCGCAAUACUCGAUCCCACGUUAUCGAUAUAUAUACCUAUAUAUAUAUAUAUAUAG